rnacentral:misc_RNA from 1 species
AAUUCUCAACCCCUCUCGAUUUGCUUCGAGCGGGUGCUUGGAUGUUGGGGGCUGCCGGAGACUUGGAUUCGUCCAGGACUCGGGCUCUCCUUAAAUGAAUCGGCUUGCGGUCGACUUUCGACUUUGCGCGACAAGGCUUUCGGCGUGAUAAUGAUCGCCGUUCGCUGAAGCGCAUGAAUGAAGGUCUCGCGCCUCUAACACGUCGACCCGCCCAACGGCCCGUCUUCUUUCUUGAC